rnacentral:rRNA from 1 species
AGAUUGAACGCUGGCGGCAUGCCUUACACAUGCAAGUCGAACGGCAGCACGGGAGCAAUCCUGGCGGCGAGUGGCGAACGGGUGAGUAAUAUAUCGGAACGUGCCCAGUCGUGGGGGAUAACGCAGCGAAAGCUGUGCUAAUACCGCAUACGAUCUAUGGAUGAAAGCGGGGGAUCGCAAGACCUCGCGCGAUUGGAGCGGCCGAUAUCAGAUUAGCUAGUUGGUGGGGUAAAAGCCUACCAAGGCGACGAUCUGUAGCUGGUCUGAGAGGACGACCAGCCACACUGAACUGGGACACGGUCCAGACUCCUACGGGAGGCAGCGAGUGGGGAAUUUUGGACAAUGGGCGCAAG